rnacentral:lncRNA from 1 species
AAGCAAAAGCCACGGCCAAAGACGCAGAGAAUGAGAAGUCCCCUUCACCCACCAGCAAUAUUUUGUACUCACUGCUGUAGUGCUUUAUCCAUCUUACUCUAAGCUUUCCUUCCUCUAGGUCUUCUUCACAGCUGCUACAGUCCCACCAAUUUUUUCCUACCACUCCUCUGGUUCGUUCUUCGUUUUCUUCAAUUAUGUUGUAAUGGUGGAGCCGUGCAGAAACUUGCUUCUCAUCACCUACAACUUGGAUUUUAAAUUUUGAAGGAAUUAACAGAUCCAAUGCAUCAUCAGACCUGGAAUUGCUGCGUGGGUCCAAGCUCAGUGGAAAACCCAGAGAGUUUCGCUGCGAUGCACCAUUGAUGCCUGAGUUGCUGCUUGGGACAGAGCUCAGUGGAAGAGUCACUGGAUUUGACUGGAAAUGGGAUGCACCACUCACGCUAGAGUGGCUGCAGGAGCUAGAGAGUAGUGAAGGAUGAGUCUGUAUCUUUGGCUGAGCAUGAGAAGUACCACUUGGCCUGGAUAGGCCACACGAGUUGGAGGUGAGUGGCUGAGGAGUCUGCACUGGUUUUGGGUAAAAAUGGGUUGUGCUGGAUUGGCUGCAUGAGCUAGAACUUAGCUGUUGGUGAGUCUCUAGUUUUGGCUGGACAGGGGAUGAUACAGUCGCGAUAGAGAGGCCACCUGAGCUCAAGUUGAGUUGAUGAUGAGUCUGCACUGGUUUUGGGUAAAAAUGGGUUGUGCUGGAUUGGCUGCAUGAGCUAGAACUCAGUUGUUGGUGAGUCUCUAGUUUUGGCUGGACAGGGGAUGAUACAGUCGCGAUAGAGAGGCCACCUGAGCUCGAGUUGAGUUGAUGACGAGUCUGCAGUGUUGGCUGAAGACGUGAUGCACCACUUGUUUUGGAGUGGGUGAAUGGGUUAGAGCUAGAGCUAGAGUUAGAGCUAGAGCUCAGUGGAGGCGUAGGAUGAGUCCGUAGAUUUGUCUGCAAUGUGUAGUCCCUACAUGAUCCUAAACUCGGUGGAGAAGUAAUUGGAUUUGGUUGCAACGCAGGCCUUGAGCUUGAAGAGUUGGUGUCUGAGCCCAAUCUCGGUGGAGAAAUCAGGGGUAGUUUUUCACUUGGCUUCUUUUUAUCAUCUUUUUCACCCCACAACCAGCGAAUAAUAAUGGAGAGAAUUUGACCCAUUGAAUCACCUGUCCCCCUUCUUUUUCUUCUUUUUCUUCUUCUUCUUCUUCAUCUUCAUCUAGGAGCCUGUAAACAUAGAAAUGUCCCUUGUCAUGAAAACCAUGCGGGCGUGCACUGCAAUGUCAAUGGACUUGACACAGGUCCCACCAACAUUGCAUUAAAUUUUCCUUCUCGGACAAGUAAGAUAAGGAAUGCCUCUGCCACAUACUGUUGAGAAAUAUAAGAAGAUAUUACCCACAAAGCCUAUCAUGUUAACAUUCAAGUCAUCCCACAUCAUUUCAUAACAUAUUAAAUCAGGUAUCAUUUCACAUCAAAUCAUUGUAGCCUGCUUGACUACUCCAAUUCCCAAGCCUUUCUCCUCCUUUUUGAAUGUUGAUUACAUCAAUGUCUAGUUUCUAGUGAUGUAGGGUUGUGUGAGUCUUUAUCUGCCAUAUCAGACCGAGACAUUAAUAGUGGGAUUCUUUUUUUCUUUGCAAAUCAAUAUGACUCAAAUGCAACAUUCAUGUUGGAAUACAAAGGGAUUCAAAUUGCCAACAAAUGAACCAAAAAUCAUCUUCACAGCCAAAUCUACAACUACUAAACAUCUUUUCCCUCUAAAACUAGUAAAAUUUUCAUCCAGACAUGUUGAUUAACUAUAGAAGAACAGGCUUCUGCAUUCAUCCCCAUCUAAGUUCAGCAUUUUAGCAGAAACCCAAUAUGAAAAAACAGAAUGACAGAAAGGGUAAAAGGGCGCCAAUAUCAAUACCAUGCAUGCAGAUGAGCUUGUGGAUGAUGAGAGCUUUGUUGAGACCAGAGAUCAAAGCUCCCAAAUCAGAGUUUUCCCACCAAAGAUCGGACGAGAUCAAACACUAGUGAUGCUUGGCUUGCAGGAGAUCCAUCAGUGUUGGGUGUGAGAGAUGAGAGUUGUGCUGAGAGUGAAGGGGGAGCAACAUCAGAAGGUAAAGAAGUUUCCCAUGAUUCGUACGUCCAAAGACUUGGUUGGACUUGGCCAUUUUUAUGCUACGUGGAGGCACUCUAUUCGGAUUAAUAAAGUGAUAAAAGAAAAAAAUUAGGAAAGAAGUCCAUUUCAUCAAAGAAUUUGAUACCCAAACUAAUGGAAGUAAUUAAAAUAGAUUGAUGAUGAUGAUGGCUGCACCAAACAGCAUUUGAUACCCAACCCACCAAUCAUAAAAUUCAGUGACAUGGGAGUGCAUAAAGCAAAAUAAGGUAUACUAAAAUUAUUUUAAAAUACUUUGUAUUUCCAGAUAAUUUUUUAUUUGGGGAAAAGGAAACAAAGUUGAAGAAUUAUUUUAAAACAAUUUUUUCAUUUUAAGAUUUUUUUUUUUUAAUUUUCUUUCACUUGGUAAAUAUUUCCUAAUUUUAAAAAUUAUUAUAUAUUAUUUAAUUUAUAUUAUUUUAAUACUUAUCAUUAUAAAAAUAAAUAUGCACUUAAAUAUUUAUAAAAAUAAACAUUAUAUAUUUUUUGUAAAAAAUUUCAUAAAGCUUACGGUUGGUCUAGUGGUAGCAAUCUCUAUUUUUUAUUGCUGCCUUUUAGGCUUGAUUUCUCAUACUCCUCUUUUCUACGUAUACCCAUCCCACAUUGAAAACCUAUACAAGCAUUUCCCCCCAUAAAUUACAUAUGAGCUUGGCAUAGAAAUUAGUUACUUAUAAUGUGGCCCAUCAAAAUAAAUGUAUUUGGACUCUACAGCUCUUAGGGCUACAGAAGGUGUUAAUUUUGCCGAUUCAAUUUUGAAAACAUUUAAAAUCAAUAAAGAGGGGUUCACAUUACAAAAAUAUUCUUAACUUUUGUAUAUUUUUCGAUAAAUAACUCUAUGUAUUUUCAAUGAAGUUGAAAUCGUACAACAUAUUAUUAAUUUGAGGCAUUGACAUACAUUCUCUGUACAAAAAUAUUCUUAAUUUUUGUGUAUUCUUCAAUGAAGAACUCUAUGUAUUUUCAAUGAAGUUGAGAUCGUACAACAUAUUUUUAAUUUGACUUGACUUAAAGACACAGACAUACAUUCUCUAUACAAAAAUAUUUUUAAUUUGUGUAUUCUUCAAUGAAGAACUCUAUGUAUUUUCAAUGAAGUUAAGAUCGUAUGACAUAUUCUUAAUUUGACUUGACUUAAAGACACAGACAUACAUUCUAUAUACAAAAAUAUUCUUAACUUGUGUAUUUUUCAAUAAAGAACUCUAUGUAUUUUCAAUGAAGUUGAGAUCGUACAACAUAUAUAUUCGUAAUUUGACUUGACUUAGAGGCACUAACAUCUUCCUCCCAAAUUCAUUGUAUGUGUAAAUGGCAUCUUCUUCCCAAACUCAGUGUAUGUGUAAAUGAAAGAGAGUUGAUUCAAAGAUCCAAACAAUCUUCUACUUUUAAAAUUUUAUAAACCCAAUCUAUGAUUUUCUAUUUAAAGAAAUCGAUAAUAAACUAAAUUCAACCAAAAAUUACAUACAUAUCUAUAAUAUAUAAUAUCUAUUAGUUAUAUUACCAACUUAAUUUUAUUAUAGAGUAGCAUACCACAUCUAUAAAGUUUAUAAGUGAGCUACUUAGUAAUGCUAUGAGAAGGUUAUACGAAUAGCUAUAUACAUUCAUCUCCUUGGGUUAGAAUAAUAUGACUUGACAUAAAUUGCAAUAAUGUAAUUUAAAUAGGUCUAUUAUAAUAGUAUUUUUAAGCUUUUCGGAUCAUAAUGUUUGAUAGGCUUUUUGGUUUGGGCCAAAAUUUAACAUUUAAAAAAAUAAUUAUUGGUUUUUAUUAUUAAAUCGAAUUGAAACCAAAUGGACUUUAUUAUUACUAAACUCAAUUAAAUGUUAUUUUUAAUAUUAAAAAAAAGUAAAUAUUUUGAUUUUUUCUAUUCAAUAAAAAAAUUUUAAAAUAAGUAGUAGAUUAAUAAAAAAAAAAUGAACAAUUUAAAAUCUUAGCAAAAAGUUAAAAAAAAAUAAAAAUAAACAAGACGUAAGUUAAUUUUCUUUGAGUGUCGCAUGACUCCCCUCUAGAUGAGGGAUUCGAAGUAGAAGGAAAAAUUAUUGACAAGGAUGUUUUAAUCAGUAGCUAUGGCUUCUCACCCAGAAAUAUAGAAUUGAUUUUCCAAGUGCUUGUGAAUGCAAGGAUAUGUCCUUCCAUGUAAUACCCCAACCCAAGAUUUUGUUAGCUUUGUAAAGUACGAAGAAUAACUAUUUUAUGUUUUUUAUUUUUUGUCUGGGCUUAUUAAUAAUUCCCUGAUUGGGCUUUUAAUUCAUGACUGAAAAUUUUGGGCCAAAACUUCCAAAGGUUAGUCUCCAACGUUUCAAAUUGGGAUGGCAACUUUAUCCAAAUCUUGUCCAGUUUAUUUAUACCCAUUUUCAUCCGAUCCAUACCUAAAAAUAAAAUAAAAUAAAAUAAUCGCCCAAAAUUUAAAAAAAAUAAAUGGGACAAGGUAAUAUUAGGAAAUUUUCAUAUUUGCCCCAUUUGAUUUUUUUUUUUUAUUUUGAAAAUUUUAAAUUAUAUUAAAAAUAAAUAUAAUUUAUAAAAAAAUAAAUAUUAUAACUUUUUAUUAUUCAUUUUAUGAAAAGUAUAAGAAUUUAUUUAUAUAUGCUAAAAAGACGUGAAAAUGAAAAAAUAAAAUAACUUUUUAUUUAAUAUUAUGUAUAAUAAUUGGGACAAGACAAAACUUGGGUUUUAAAAAAAAAUUAUUGAACUCAUUUCAAAUUCAUCACUUUAAAGGAGGGGUAUCCCAAAAACGUCUUAUUGUCAUCCCUAGAUCCAAAUCCUAUAUAUCAUGUCAGUUUCCUAAUUAUUACUAUAGUGGACAACAAAAAAAAAAAAAAACCAAAGAGAAGGAAUGAGUGUUAGAUUUCUUAAUCCAUUAUCACCCAAAACACAAAACAGGAUAUAUGUAUAUCAAGCAUUCAAAAAAAAACAUUUCUUUAUCUUUUUAUCUUUGGAUAGAGAUCCAACCUGAAUCCAUUUUGACGUUUUGAUGAAGACGGUAUGAAUCUUCUAAGACUGAUGGAGGGCACCACCUCUGGAUUCUCUCAGGCAAUGGGAGCGGGAGAGAGAGCGGUUAAGUUCUUUUCAAAAGAUGUGAUUGUGCCAAAAGACACAAGUCAAAGCCCUUUUAUACCCUCCUGCCUUAGGGACCAUACCCAUUGGUUAUUGGGCCUCACGGGCCUUAGGCACAUCAUCUAAAGCUCGUGAUGGCAUUGGGCUCUACACAUUAGGUGGCCCAUACUCAAGAUUAAAUCAAAAAUUGCAUGUUAAAAGAUAGCCUUAUCCUGGACAAUGUUUAAUAUAUUGUCGGUCCACAUUUAUUCUAUCAAUGAGAAGUUGCACAACUAAUGUGGUUGAGAAAGUUAGACAAAGUAGAUUAGAUGGUGAUCGAUUUGACUCACAUAGCAGGUCUCUCAUCUAUUGUAGAUUUUUUAAUCAUUUUUCUUUUCUUUUAAGUGAAAGAUUAGUAAUUAGAGGGUUGGAGUUCACUUAUUUCUUCUAAAUUUUAUGGUUUUGGCUCAAAGACUAAUGAAAGAUUUGAAGGUUCUAGGGAUUUCCAUGAAGAUCAAGUAGAAUACCUAUCAAAUUGAUGACAAGAAUUGCAUUAUGAAUCUAAAAUUAUUUGACUAAUUAAAAAAAAUAGAGAGAAAAUAUUUUGAAGCAAAAAAGUAAGAAAUGAAUCUAAAUUAGUAGUAUAUAUGAAUAUCGAGUGGUUGACAAAUAAGCUACAAAUUAUGGUAAUAAGAAAACACUAGUGUCAUAAAAAUAUGCAACUUAUGAAUCUAGGCAUUGUUAAAAAGAUAGUUGAAAAAUAUAGUUUUGAGUGUUAGAGAAAAAAAAAAUAAAGACUAAAUAAAUUUGUUCAAUAUUAUAUCUACAUAUGGAUGUAGGGUUAGCAUUACUAGUUUUAUAUAUGCUUUCCAAUUUGUUUUCUAUAUUACAUAUUGCCAAAUUACUCUACUAUUUGUAUCUUUGGCUCUAAAGCUUAUGCAACACCUAUGGCCUCUAGAAUCGUGCUCUUUAUUAAUUAAAGGCCGCACUCCUCUCUCGAACCCUACUCCAUAUAUAAAUCUUGUUGGGUUUUAUAGUAUUGCACCAUUACAUGCCUUCACAUUUCUUUUAAUGUUGAUAAUUUAUGUCAAUUCAUUCCUACUCUAACUCACAUUCACUUUUAGAUAGUUAAAUGACUUCUUUGGUAUCAUAAGGGGGUUGUUUAUUUCAUGAUCUUACCCUUCAUGUAGCCGGUUUUUUGGAUCUUUUGUUCAUUUUGAUACAUGCUAGGAUGGUUGCUCGAAGAAUCGUUGGAGUACAAAGGCUAUUGUGCUUUCUUUGGAAAUAGUUUUGCCUCUUGAUAUGCUAGCAAACAGAAGGCGGUCUCUCAAUCUAGUAUUGCUUUUGAAUAACAUAGUUGCAUUUGAAUACUAUGUCAUUUGCAAAUACUACCUAAACAUUGGUUUGAAUUCAAUUCAUGUUUUAUAAGUGAAGGUUCCCUUAUUCCAUACACCUUUUAUAUUGUGUGAUAAUUUAAGUUCAACCUAUUUGGUUAUGAACCCUGUUUCACAUUCUUAUAUCAAAUAUGCGGAUAUUGACUUCCCCUUAUGCAUAAUCGAGUACUUCAACAAAUCAUUAGAUGUCAAGUUCGUGUCUUUUGCUCAUCCAUUGGUAGAUGCUAUAACUAAGCCUCUACCUACUCAAAUUCUUAGGUCUUUAUCCCAAGCUCUUAGUUCUUCCACGACCUUGAGCUUGUAAGGAAUGUCAGAAUAUAGGUCAACUAGCUCAACAUUCUUUUUAUCUUGUUAUAAUGAAAAUUAUAGAAUCUUGUUGGAGUAAGUUAUGUAAUAACCAAAAGUGGUAAUAACAGGGAAUGAGCUCUUUGAAAGAGGGCAUCCAAAGAAGGAAAAAUACCCUCAUGUUCUUUUAGCAUAUGAGUAUGUAGAUUGCACAUAAUAUUAUAUAUAGAUAUGAAGUUAUAAUUAUAUAUAUAAAAGAAAAGGAGUACAAGUGCAUAGGGAUGGCAAUGGGGUGGUUUGGGAUAGGUCAUCUUAUCUUAAUCUCUUCCCGUUUAUUCAAAAUAAUUUUGAUUUUUGUCCCAAUUAAAAAAUUAAACGGAAUGGGUGGUGGUAUAAAUUAGGACGAUGUGAGACAGGACAAGACAAUAUUUGAAACCACCUUGAACCUAUUUUGGGUUUUUAAAAAUUUCAAACCUAUCAAUAACCUAUUUAUUUAAAUUUCAAACUCGCCCCAUUAAAGGCAAGGAAGAGUAGCUACCCGAAAAAAUCCAUCCAUUGUCAUCCCUACAAGUGCAUAUUAAAUAAAUUAAUGUGGUGGCUCUAAUGGAGACAUGCUUAGAAUAUGAUAUAAUGGGAGUAUGAGUAUAUAUGAAAAACAUAGAAGAAUAUAGAACGUAUGAAUAAAUGUAACUUUUGAGUGUGAGAUCAUAACAAAUUGGGUGCAGCAUAUACAAAUAUAUUGCUUUAAGAAUUCUGGUGGGCUGAAUGUUUUGGUAUAGGAAUUAUUGGAGAGAAUAUGGAAUGCAAAAAUAUGAAAUAUUUUGGAUAAAUGAAAACUCACUUGUUGAUACAAAAUCUGGGUUAAGAGGAUAUACAAAAAUAUAAGCAUGGUUGGUGGUUGUAGAAUUCCAAAUUGAAGUGCAGCACCUUAAUAUUUUUGGACAAGAGGUAUAAAUAGGAGUCAUACCUAGAACAUAGUGUAAAUAUACAGUGUCAAGUAGUAAAUAAUCUUAAAUAUAUAUACUAUAUUUGAUUAUAUGUUAAAAAAAAAUAAAAAAUUCUCAUAUUUAGUUUCAUCAUAGAAAAUACGGAAAAAAUAUCAAAUAUAAUUAAAAUUAAUUAAAAUUUUAAAUAUUUUAAAAUUAUUUCAUAUUUACAUAGAAAGAGAAAAUGAAUGAAACGCGUUUGAAUUAAUAUAUUAAAAUGAAUUAAUGAUUUUAAAUUUAUUUUUUAUUUUUCUUCAUUAUUUUUCUUUUAUUUUACUUUUCCUCUAUUUUUUCUCUCUCGUGUUUUCCCUUCAAUUUUCCAUAAACCAAACAUAGCUAUAAUAUUAUAAUAGCUUUGUUUUAAAAUAAACAUUCAAUUUGAAUUUCCUAAUAUAACCUAAUGGGAAUUUAAUUUAUUUUACUAUUUUGCAUUAAUUUAUGAAAUAUCUAUUUUUCUGUCCAAAUUUAGAAAAAAUUUGUUUGUAUUUUUGUAAAUUUUGUACAUGAAAUUUAUUCAUUCAAUUACACUAAAAUUUAUAAGACACUACACAUCCUUAUCUGUAGCAUAAAUUUUUCUUUCCAUUUUCACUGUGUUCUUAACAGGCUAUGUUCAGACCCAACAAAUCCACUCAUGGUUCUUCCUUGCCAAAAUGCUCCAUGCAUGAACACAAUCCCUCCAUUCGAGUCAGGUCUCUGAUGUGUUUGUGCCCCAUGGUUGUCGUACCAUAAGCAUAUAUUCAUUUCUGAGAACGAAGCAAGCAACCAAACGGACCCCAGGAUACUUCAGUUUGAGAUUUUGACUGGGAUUUUUUGGAAGAUUAUCCCUGAUUUGAAUUUUCAUGGCUCAAAACAUUCCCUAGAUUACUCAGCCUCCAUUAACACUCAUUUCUCAAUGAAAGCAAAAUGCUGAAGUUUACCAACCCAGGUUCAAACUUAGUACACUUGUCAUAUGAUGCAGGACUGAGCUAAUUCAAAACUGUUCAUCUAAUGUGGCAAUCCUAAAGUCAUAUUGCUUCCUUCCAGCAUUACAGAACAAAACUCAAAAGGUAAAAGCUAAGCAAAACUCAUUCUGUGUCGUAUCAUGCUGAACUUAGGAACUAAAAUAUCUAUGGUUAAACACCUGGAAAGUAAUAAUUCCAUGGUUCCCUAGAAUGGGAUCAGUCCAAGUCUCAGGAAUUUGAAAAACAUUUUAUGUGCCAGCAUGAAAAUAAAAUUUAGGCCCAAAGAUCCCUGACCAAGUUAUCUUGGCCUUCACAACCCUCUCCCAGCACAUUAUCAAGGGUAUCUACUUUGUUUCCUGAUGGAUAUUUAGACCAGCUUUCGCUAAAAUGGUUUUGGGGAUCAAGCAGAAAGUACAAAAUAGAUUGUAUGCCAUUCUAAAUAGAAUGCAUGUCACACCAGGACUGCAAUUUGAUCAUGAAAAUUGACAGAGAUCAUCUCACCUGAAAGUAUGAAUUUCUAUAAAAUUUACAAUAAUUCCUGCUCUCCUGCACACAAGUGUACUGAGACAAAAACCAAAAACAAAAAGAGUAUAGUUUUCACCUAUAGAACAACACCGGUGCUUAACUUGUAUUCACUAGCAAACAAGGCAAAAGGUGCUCACUUCUCAGAAACAUGUUCUAUUUCUCCUUCUUUACAAGUAAUGAUCAGGACCCAAUAACAUCCUUUGUAGGAAUGCUGAUCUCAACCUGCUCAAAUGUUGAAGCUCUUGCAGAAGGUUUAUGUAACCAGUCAAGGUUCUUCCUGGACCUUCAGCCAUAUAUCUUUCAAAGCCAAGCCUAAGUGCUUCAUGAACAGUAUAGCCCACAUCGUAACCAGUUCUUCCAAAUGUUUCCACAGCAUGAUUGAAGUAUCCAUCAAAGAUCCGAGAACAUUCAUUGCUGACAGAGAUUGUUAAAGGUAACCCCAUAUGCCUUGGGAUGCCAUUCAUAUUUGCUAAAAUAUUUCUUCCAGGACCUCUGUAAUCAGAUGAACCUGGCCACUGCUGCAUUUGCAUUAGAUUAAUUUGCUGAGAUCCUCGGUGAUUUAAAUCAGAGUGGCACACGAUUCUGGACAUUUUCAUAGCAGUGGGGGAGAAUCUGAAUUUGAAAGUACUGCAAGCUCCCAAACGGAAGGGCUCAUCACAUCUUGAACCAGCUCCUCUCUUAUUGUUAUAGCCUGGGUAGUCCUCUUUCUUAAAAUCAACACACUCAAACAGCACCAGAGAGUUUUGAGAAGCAAGUUCCUCAAGAUUCCAGUGGGAAAAUGGAGCUGUGGUUUUGUGAUUUACAUGAAUUUCACCAUUGGCUCUUAGCAUGCCACUUGCAUUCCUGAAGAAACCAUGCACAAGAUCCCUAUGCAUACUGUAGCAUAAGAUGGGAUGACAACAUAAGUACAAUCCACACAGAAUUAAUAAAGAAAUCAGCCAUUCUAUAAAAGCCUUAGGUACAACUAGAUUGAACCAUUUGAAAUCAGCAGAAAACAAUGCAUCAAAGAUACUCAUAUUCCUUUUGAUUUUUUUUUUUGGUUGUCAGACACACAGGUAAAAAAAUAUUAUCAGAUGAUGAUGUCUAUAAUUAAUUUACCUGUGAUAAUGAAAUUUUUCUUCUACAUAUUUGUAUCUUUGAUAUAUAUUCUACCACUUCAAAAGAGAAACCCAGCACUCCCAUCAUUUGGAAGCAAAGGCAUGAUAUUUCUGGUGCACCUGUAUAGCAGUUAAUCUUGUUUUAAGGUUGUAAGUUAGAUGCCUAGCAUCUGAGCUGAAGACCAGCACAUGGGCCAAUGCCCAUGGUACAUGAUAGUAACAACUAGAAUUCUUAAAAAUACUAUGAAGACAAUAACUGAUUCAGUUACAUGUAGGGUUCCAAAUACCCCCCAGUUCUAUCCUUUGCUGCCCUGGCUUUUGUGAUGGAGACUUUGUCCAUCAACAUGUAGAAGCUGAAAUUAUAACAUAAUCUCAGUAUGGAGGCAUUGGAAACCUACACAUGACCAUGUAGAUGUGAUUCAUUUGCCAAUACGAUGAAUCAUACUGCACUUGUGCAGACUCAUGGCUAUAUACUGCAGAAAUAGGUAAACAUAUGACCACAGAAUGUGUGUUAUGCAUCUUCACCACUUUGAUAAAGUGGUCAAAAUUUCCCCUUAUGAGGACUUGAAUGGGAUCAUCAAAUGCGUGCUCCAAACCCACGGCUAGCUACCUUGAUGGGCAUCACCAUCUGAACCAAUUGAACAAACACACAGUUCUGUGCAUAGACAAAAAGGGCAUGAAAUGUAAAUGAACUCACAAACACAAAUAAAACAUAGGAGAAAAGUAACAUUGACCAUGACGAGCAACUACAAUGUAUGGAAGAUUUUGCUGUGAAAUUCAAGCUACAUAUCAUAUCCAUAACAACAAUACGUUUUCUUCGUACAGAGAGAAGGUAGUUUUGAGGAAUUAUGAAAUUUGCAUCACAUAGAUAAGAAAUAAAAGUUGAGGCCUUACUUAAUCAUAAGCCUGUUGUCUUCCUUUCCAUGGAAGCCUGCAUGAGGAAAGUUAUAUAUAAUGCGGUCGAAUUUCCGCAUCUUGAGAUCAGUAUGAAGCUUCAUCUUGGUUGCAUCCACUCCAAAUAAAAGAGAUGCUCCCAGCUUCUCUAAAGCUUCCAAAUUUGAUUUUGCUUUCUUGUACAUCUUUAUCAGAACAUCUAGUUUAAGAUUGUGUCAGAAAACAAGUUGUCCAAAAAAUAGCAUUCCUCAUAAAACAGAGAGACUACAACUUAAUUUAAAAAUUUGUAUAUUGAACUCAACAAAGACUAAACCUCAACUAAACAAAUGAAACAUUGGCAAAUGUGAUAACUCCCCAAAUAUUGAAUAUAACAACCUUCAAAUUCUUAAUUUGCAUAUCCUGUACCCAAAAUGAAAAUGACAUUUCAAUUUCAGAGCAUCAUAGAAGUCAGAACCCUUGUCAAUUUUGAUAUUUGGAAAGUACAAUAACACUGGGGAAUUCUUGUCCAACAGGAGGAUUUGGAAAAACAUAAACCCAUAAAAAAACUCACACAAUGUUAAAAAAUAUUUUGUUGAUAAUAAAAUAAAAGCUCUUCAAAUUCCACCUCUUGACUCUCCCCAGUUGCUUUCAUUUCAAAAUAGUCCUUCAUCUCCAAACCCAGAUGUUUGGUUCUCAGAAACUGAGAAAGAAAAAUAACACAAAAGCAAGUUUCACUUAUAUUCCAAGGUUGACCAUUUCUUCAACCCAUAUUUCUGGCAUGCUUCUUUCUCUUCCAGUCAUGACAACCAAAUAAAGAAAAUAAUUCCCCUUCUACUGUUUCCCAAAAGUAUACAGGGCUAAGGACUACAAGAUUAGAGUAUAGUACACAAGUAACGAGUUGAUUCCAAUACAUAUAAAAUACAAGAAAAGGGAAAGAGAGAGACCGUAUGGGUCGAGAGAAGAAGCAACGAUGUUGGAAGCAGAAGCAAAAGAGUGAGCCAAACACAGAGAGAAAGAGAAGUCUCCUUCACCAACCAAGAGAAUUUGAUGAAACGAGGAAUAAUGCAUCAACCGUUUCUCUUGUUCUUCCACACCCACUUCAUCUUUCACCAUUUCCUCCCCGACAGCCAUUGACGCUUUCUACAGUUACAGAACCAGAGAGACUCAUUGAGAGAGAAAGGUAGUGAAAGUUUGGCCGUGUUUAAAGGGCUUAUUUGAAAAACAGAGAUUAUUUUCAAAUAGAAAUAUUUGGGCUGAAUUUACCGAGAUGCCACUGUUACCUGGAUGCUGCAAGCAUUGGGAUUGUCUCGUUUGUGAGCGAUGGAGCUUGGGAGGGGCAUUUUGGGAAUGGAAGAUGCAUGGCAUGGUCGCCCAUUAAUGGUGGCCUGCCCUAACAUUGGGGAGUUCAAGCGUCCCUUAAGCUCGGCUCAUAUGGCUUCUGACGAUGCAGAUUUAAAAGGGCAGGGGGAAUUACUUUCCUUUUUGGGUUUUUUUUUUUUUGGGAAAGUAUGGUAUGUAAUUACAUAAAAUUAAUUAGUAUAAAAUAAUCUUUAGAAUUGUGAAUCUAACUGUUCCAUAAUUUUAUAAAAUAACCAAUUUUUUUUAUAUAAAUAUUUUUAUUAUUUCACGUAUUCACUCCUAGAUUUUUUUUUUCUUAAAUUAUUUUUAUAAGAAAAUAGUGAGGAUGUUUUUAUCAAAAAAGGAGACCAAAAAUUGAUGAAAGGUUAUUUAAUAAUUGUUUUUAAAAAUUUUUUUAAAAAUGAUUUUUAAGAACAGUUUUUAAAAACUGUUUUCUAAUUUUGUAAAAUAAAAUUUUGUUUAAAAAUUUAAAAUAUUUUUAAUUUAUUUUUAAUAUUUUUAAAUAUGUUUUAAAAAUAACUUUUAUGUCUAGUGUUUUACUUUUAAUCAUUCUAUAUAUUUGUAUAAUUAUAUUUUAAAAUAAUUCUCCGAAAACAAGUGAAAACAUAAAAAAAUAAAUAAAAUUUAUUAUCCGAAAAUACCAUAUUUUUUAUUUUUAAAAACAGAAAAUAAAAAACAAUUUUUUAUUAUCAAAUACAUUUUCCUAUUUUUUUGUUCUAGAUAACAAAAAACUAUUCUCCAAAACAGUUAUCAAAUUGGCUCUUAAAUUUCUAACGUUGAGUGUUCAGUAACUCUUUUAAUCAAAUAAUCCAAAUAUAUAAAUGCUUUUAAUUGAAAUAAGAAAAACAAAUUAUGAAUUAUUAAGUGUAAAAAAUAAAAAUUAUUUGUUCACAUGUGUGAAACGUGUCUCGGGAAAAAUUUUGCAAAAUAGGGAUAAUUUGUUGUAUAAGUGAUCAAGGAAGCAAUUUAAUGAGAUUGGUCUAGAAUACAUAACCAAUGCACUGCGGGUAAGUUCAUUUUUCAAGCCACAUGUCCUACGUAUUCGUACAAUUUAGUGGCAUCUACUGAAAGAAAUUGUUAGUUUUGUGGACUUAAUAAUCGUACGCUAAGAGACGCCAAGGAGAAAUUCAUGCGAAAUGUGACAUUAUUGAGCUCUGCUAUGAACCCAAUGGACAGGACUGUUAAACAGAGGAAGAUCAAAGGCUACAAAUGGUCGGCCAAGGGAGGAGUUCGAGCCUUAAGAGGGCUAUUUUUAGCACAUUAGCUAUGGGAGGUAUGGCUUGGGCAUGUGUGGAGACAACUUGCAUCCACAUGGCCUGAGGCAUGUAGUAGAGGUAUGUCGAAACUCAAGCAUGGUGUUGGGCUUAGAAAACAUACUUGUCAUAGAGGCUGUAACUUCCAACGACAUGCAUAGGUCAUAAUUUGGCGCAAGUGCAAACAACAUUGUCAAGACAUGUUGCUUAACUAGAGGCAUGGGGUGCGACAAUGGCGCCCCGUGGUGGCAAACUCACAUGGACUUGACAUAGUAAGUGUUGGAUGUUGGUGUGUCUAUGAUAGGCGGUGAGUGGUACUAGAAGCACAUAAUAUUAUGGGAAAACUGAUCAAAAGGGACAAAAAUCCCUCAAUAUUGUAAAACUAACCCCCCACUUUUAAUAGCCUCCAAAAUGACCCGAUCUGGACAAAAAUACCCCUCAGCUACAUCAACUCCUUUUUCCCUCUCAUUCUAAUUUUAUUUCCCUCCAUUCACCUCUUUUUUAUUAUUUCUUCCACUUUCUCCUUUUUUUCAUUUUCUCCUGUUAUUCCGUUUCUCCCUUUUCAGUGCAUUUCUUCAAGUCUCACACAGUUUCUCUUCAAAUUUCUUCAACUUAAAGCGCUUUAAGUUGUGGUUGGAUAAACAGUGUACGUUUAUUUUUAUUUUUCCAUAUUUUUUUCUUUCAUGUUUUAUUUAUUGAAUAUUUUCAAACAUUUAAUGAGAUGUAGUAAAUAUUUAAAUAAGUUUGAAAUUGUUAUAAUUUUUUUAAUAUCAUUUACAACUAUGAAAAAAUGGAUUAAAAAAAGGAAACAAUCAACUUAAAAAGUGUAAUGUGGAGAAACAUUGUUUAUAUGGAAAAAUCAAAUGAUGGUAAGUAAUAAAACUUAUGGAAUUUUAUGAUGGUUUUGGUAUUAUUUGCAUAUUUUUUCUUUAUAUAGAUGUAAAUAUGUGUUAAUAAGGUUUUGAUAUAAUAUAUAAAGUUAUCUUUUUUAGUUAUAUAUCAAAACCUUACGGAUAUUAAGUUGAACUUAACGUAAGUUAAGAUUGUAUAUAGUUAUUUUAUAGUAACAUUAUAUUAUUGUUAUUUUAUUUAAUUAUAGUCAAUUUGAGUUGAAUCAUUUGCAAAUUACCCUUGACAUUAAAUGAAUUACAACAUAACCAAUCUUUUAGUAAAUAAAUAUAUUUUUAUUGUUUAAAAUAGCUUAGAGUUACAAUGUCUGAAUUUAUUUAAUAACUAUAUACAUUGUAUUUCUAUAGCAUUAUUGGUAUUAUUUGAGGUAGUAAAGAUGAUUAAUAAUGUUAUUUAUUUGUUGUUUAUUAAAAAAAUAAAUAUGUGUAAUGAAAUAAUAUGUAUUUAAUAAUGAAUGAGUUUUUUAAAAUUAAUACCUACUUAUUGGUGCUAAUGCUAUGAUGUAACUAAAAAAUAUUCUAAUAUUGUUUUUUGAUGCCACUAAUUGAAUUAUUUUGUUAUUUCAGUGGUUGAUGAAGUAUGGAUAAUGCUUUUAUAUGAAGGAGAAUGGGUACGAGAUGGAAAUGUUUUCUAUUUUGAAGGAAGUAAAGGUAAAGGCAUUGAGAUCCCGAAAGCUAUAUCAUAUAAAGAGUUAUUAGGGGUUGUCCAUCAUAUUCUGAAGCUAGAUCUAACAAAUUGUUUUCUUUCAAUGAAGUAUGUAUUCAAUUCCAACAUACCCACAAGUCCUAUACAACUAACUGAUGAUGGGGAUGUGAAAUUCUUUAUUGGUUUAAAUUGUACAAAAGGUAAGCUGCCUGUUCCAUUGUGCAUCACAGUUGAAAAGAGAAUUGAUAAUCACAAUCAGAAAUCAAUUUGCAAUUCUUAUUUUGAAUGUCAUGUCUUCUGAGAUUGAUAAAGAAUUGAAUGGGGACUCAAUGUUGAUGCAAAAAAGUAGACACAUUCAUUGUGAUUCAGUUGAAACUCUUACUGUUGAUGGUGAAAAUGGACUAAGAUUUCAAAAUGAGUCACUUGAAGGGUAUAAAGUUCAUGAUUGGAACAUGAAUGAGACUGCAACUAAUGAGGAGGAUUAUAGGAUGAAUACUAACCCUACUAAUGAUAAGCAAGUGACCCAAAUUGGCUCAUUCAGAAUUGGUUCAACUCAGAGUGCAGAAAUCUUGACCAUGAUUGAUACAAAUGAUGGUUUCAUACAUGACAAUCCCAUUAUAAUCGAAGAUGUAGCAAAUGAAAGACAAAACAUGAUGCAACAACCUAUAGUUAGUGAAAUUAGUGAUGACCAUUUAGAAGAGCACCAAAUAUACUCAAGUAAGAAAGAAUUACAAAAGAAGUUGUAUAUGAUGGCUCUGAAAAGGAAGUUUGAGUUCAAAACAACUAAAUCCACUACUAAGUUAUUGCUUGUUGAAUGUUUUGAUAAAGAAUGCAAGUGGCGAGUUCGUGCUACCAAGUUGGGGAUUUCCAAUAUGUUUCAAAUAAUGAAAUUCUAUUCAACACACACUUGUCGGUUAGAUAUGAUGCCUCGUGACAAUCGACAUGCAAGUAGUUGGUUGAUUGGUGAGAGUAUAAAAGAAACAUAUCAAGGGGUUGGUUGUGAAUUUCGACCAAAAGACAUUGUAGCAGACAUUCAAAAGCAGUAUGCCGUUCAAAUAAGUUAUGAUAAGGCGUGGAGAGCCAAAGAACUUACUCUAGGUUCUAUUAGGGGAUCACCUGAGGAGUCUUAUAACACUUUACCAUCCUAUUGCUAUGUUUUAGAGCAAAAAAAUACUGGUACCAUUACUGAUAUAGUUACUGAUUGUGAUAAUCAAUUCAAAUACUUUUUUAUGUCGAUUGGUGCAUCUCUUGCUAGGUUUCACACAUCAAUAAGGCCUGUGAUUGCAGUUGAUGGGAUAUUUUUGAAAGCAAAGUACUUCGGGACUUUAUUUAUUGCAGCGUGUAAAGAUGGCAACAAUCAGAUAUACCUUUUAGCCUUUGGGAUUAGUGAUUUAGAAAAUGAUGCCUCAUGGGAGUGGUUUUUACAAAAACUGCAUGAUGCACUUGGACACAUUGAUGAUUUGUUUGUGAUAUCAGAUCGACAUGGUAGCAUUGAGAAAGCAAUACAUAAAGUAUUUCCCCAUGCGAGGCAUGGUGUUUACACUUAUCACGUUGGACAAAAUUUGAAGACAAAGUUCAAGAAUCCUGCAAUUCAUAAGUUGUUCCAUGAUGUUGCCUAUGCUUAUCGUGUUUUAGAGUUUAAUUUUAUAUUUGGGCAACUAGAGAUGAUUGACCCAAGAGCAGCAAGAUAUUUUAUGGAUAUAGGUGUUGAUCGAUGGACACGUUCAUAUUCUACCGAAAAAAGAUAUAAUAUCAUGACGACAGGGAUCGUUGAAAGCCUUAAUGUUGUGUUGAAAAAUGCUAGAGAUCUUCUGGUUUUGAAAUUGGUUGAAGAAUUGAGAAACUUACUUCAAAAAUGGUUUGUGACUCGUCAACAACAAGCAAUGUCAAUGUCAACUGAACUUACCAUGUGGGCUGAUGGAGAACUUCAUUCGAGGUAUAAUAUGUCAGCAACAUAUCUAGUGGAACCUAUCAACUCCAAGGAGUGUAAUGUUAACUAUGCUGGCAUUAGUGCUCAAGUGAAUUUAGACACUCGUUCAUGCACAUGUCGACAAUUUGAUCUUGAUCAUAUUCCAUGUGCACAUGCUAUUGCUGCUUGUAGAUUUUAUAACAUUUCAUGUUACACUUUGUGCUCCAAGUAUUUUACUACUAUAGCAUUGUUAUCUUCAUAUUCAGAGUGUAUUUAUCCAACUGGAAAUGAAAUAGAUUGGGUAGUACCUAAUCAUAUUCGUGACAAAGUUGUGUUACCACCUAAAACGAGACGUCCAAUAGGAAGACCAAAGAAAGUAAGAAUUCCUUCUGGUGGAGAAGGCAAGCGCACAUCUCGUUGUAGUCGAUGUGGUCAAUAUGGGCAUAAUUGGAAAACAUGCAAACGACCAAUCCCUUGAUAUCAUGAUAGCUUUGGCACUCUAUGAACUUACAUGGAAUGAAAAUUGUAAUAGUGAGCUUUUUUGUUUUUUUGGUACCCAUGUGAACGGAAAUGUAAGUUACUUUUUUGUAUUAGGUGAUAGAAUAAGGACAUAGAUGAAUAUUGUAAUAAUGAUCCCCUUUUUUUGCAUACCCAUAGAAAUGGAGAUAUUUGUUACUUUUGUACAUAUAUGUUAUGAUGAGUUAUGUAUAAAGUAUGAAUGAAAAUUACAUGUUUAUUAUCAAACUAUGGACUCAACUAUUCUCACGUUUAUUGAUAAGGAACUUGACAAUAGUUAAGUUCAGGUUUUGUCUAAAGACUGUAGACUUAACUACCUUCAAGUUUGUACAUAAAACAACUUGAUAAUGAUUAAGUUCAGGUUUUGUCUAAAGACUGUUGACUUAACUGCCUUCAAGUUGGUACAUAAAACAACUUGACAAUAGUUAAGUUCAGGUUUUGUCUGAAGACUGUGGACUUAACUACCUUUAAGUUUGUUCAUAAAAUAACUUGACAAUAGUUAAGUUCAAGUUAAAAUGGCAAACUGUAAACACAACUUCCUAUGAGUCUAUAGAAGAUCAACUUGAUACCUGUUAAGUCCAGAUUAAAUAUGUUAUUCUGGAAUAGAUUUCGACUUAAUAUCUGUCAAGUUUGUUCACAGUUAACUUGAUAGUAGUUAAGUUCAGGUGUUCUAUUAAGACUGUGGACUUAACUACCUUCAAGUUUGUACACAUAACAACUUGACAACAUUCAAGUUUAGUUUAAAAAGUCAAUUGUAUACAUAACUAUUGAACAACAUUCAUCAAAAUAUCCAAGUAGAUAUAUCAACCUGUCCAACUACAUUUAUCAAAAUGUCUAACUACAUAUAUGAAGCUAUCCAAUUACAUAUAACAAACCAUCCAACUACAUUAUCAAAAUGUGAAAUAUCAACAUGAAUUCAUUACAUAGGCAAGUAUUUCAUAUAAAAUAACUUUGCUGCCAUCUUUUCCCGAAACCAGUCCAUUCGAGCACUUGUUAAUGACUUCAAUGGAUGGUUGUGCAUUAAGUAUUCAACAUAUUUGAUAACAAACAUGCCACAAUCACCACUGCAUGGUACACAAAUAAUCAAUGUUAGGGCUAUUAUUAAGGAUUAAGUGUAUAAGUUAUGAAAGUAAAUUGAAGAUCACUUACUCAUUUUCCUGUUAAGGAAUAUCUUGCAGCCGUUCAAUUUCCCAUUCAUGGUAGUUAACUUUUGUGUCACCAUGAAACCCAUAAUAUGCUAUUGCAUUCAAUAUAUGCGGCAACAAUUUGGCUAAUGGUUUAAUGGCAACUUGCAAUCUUGCAUUAUUAUUGAUGCUCAUCAAUGAGUCAUAUACAUAUAUAAUCCUUCGAUGAAGGUGGACAACUCCUAAUACCUAGUGACUAGCCCGAACAUUGAUGGGGACAUACACAAUGUCAACAUCAGGCCAUUUGACAGAAUAAAGAGGCUGCAAACCAUUGGCAUAAUCAAUAAGAAUGUCAUUCUCUGGUAAUUUGAAUUGGUUCCAUUUCUUGCCAUGCUUAAUCCAUCUUCAAAUUUUUUUUUUCUUAUUUUUUUUUCUUUUUCUUUUCCUCUCCUAAAGAAAGAAAAACUUUCUCCAACUCAUCAUUACGCACCUUGUUUUCUCCUUUAAAGUAUGUGUCCCUUAUUCGUAAUGAUUUUUUAUCACAGUUUGUAAUAUGACCAAAACUCAAGCCCGUAAUCUCUUCUUUACGAAAUCUUAAGCCCUUUAACUUUAAUAAAAUCCAUAUUUCAUUGUCUUUUUUGGUUUCACAUUGAUGAGCAAUUUGGGCUGAAAAUCUAAGUUUGGGAAGGAGUAAAAAAUGACCAAAACAUGAUUUUCUAAACAUCUCCAAUUGUGGUUCAAUCAAUUUCUUCUUAAUAUUUUCAAUGGCAACCAAGUGAGACAAACAUGCAAUUUUUCCAGGAAAGUACUCCUCUUUAGGUAUUUUAGAUAUAAAAGAUAGGAGAGGAGGAGGAAUGUCAAUCUGCAAGAUAAUAACAAAUUGGAAAAAUAUCAAUAUAAAUUGGGCAAAAUUAUAUUACCAAACUUAUCCAACUAUGUUAAAUCCAUCAUUUCGUAUUACUUCUUAACAUAGACUUUAUUUUCCUAUUAUUUAAGGAUGUCAUGUCAAAUGCUAAUAUUCUAAAGAUAUUAUUUUACUAAUGCAAUUGAAGCUAUUAUAUUUUACUAAGUUGCAGCUACAAAAAAUUGGAGACAUUAUUCUAGUGUUUAUUGAAAUUUGAAACAAAACCAAACCAUUUUGAAAUUGCCACCUGUUGACAAUGAACUUGAUAGCAGUUAAGUUCAGUUUUUUCUUAACAUAUAUAUAUAAAUCAAAAUUCUAAAUAUUUGGAUAAAAUAAUUUCACAAAAAUUAUAUUCAAAUACGUUAUAAAUUCAUAACAAAUAACUUCAUUACACAAAAUUUCAAAACCUUUUGAUGGUAAACUUGAUAGUAAUUAAGUUUAGUUUUUUCUAAUCAUUCAAAUAUUGCUUUAAACCUUGGACUAUAACCUCACUGAGAAAAUUUUCAACAAUUAGAUUAUCAAUUCAUGAAAAAUAAAUUCAUAAAAAAAGGAUAAUCGAUUAAAAAUGAUAAAAUUUUAAAAAAAAAUCAAAAUUUCAAGUAGAAAAUUAAUGCUUACUGAAUCAGUUGAUUUCUUCUCAUUUUCUGAUGACAAUGACGAGGUUUCAAACCUGUCUUUCUUUCACUUCUUUUUUUUCCCAAAAUUUUAUACCUCUUCUGUUUCGUAUUUUUCAUCACCGAAUUUUUUUUCUUUCUCCAUUUUCAUGAACUAAAUCAACACACAAUAUCAGAAAGAUGAAAAAUAGGGUUUGAUUGAAAAAAAAAAAAAAAAGAACCAAAAUAAGACACUUAGGGUUUCUUCUCAAUUCAUAGAUGAAGAUUCAUAUGUACAGUUCGAAAAACUAAAAUCAAAGAAUGAAACAAUGAAACUUACUUUCUGUUUUUUCUUUGUGUUGUGUUGUCUUUUUGUUCUCUUGCAAUAAACGAAAAAAUCCUUCGUGAUUUAUUUCUCGCAAGUUAACAGAUGGAACAAAUGAGUUUACAGGGUAAGGAAGAGACACGACACAAGGGAAAAUUGGAGUUGGAGGGAAAAUGGGCUAAAAAGAUAGCUGAGGGGGUAUUUUUGUCAGAAUUGGGUCAUUUUUGAGACUUAAAUAAGUGAGGGGUUAGUUUUGCAAUAUUGAGGGAUUUUUGUCCCUUUUAAUCGGUUAUCCCUAAUAUUAUCAAGACACGUUGCAUAACUAGUGUUGAAUGUUGGCGUGUGUGUGUGCGUAUGCGCGUGCGUUUUGGGCGAGGAGGGUUGGGGUUGUGGUCUCACUUAGGACAACCUAAGGGUGUGGGCUAUGGCAUGACGCUAGCUCACCCAAGGUGCUUUAGGCCUCUCCAUUGAUAAGUGUAGGGCACCACACCUUUAGAACUUACAUACACCCAAGUGCCCAAUGGUUUAAGCAAGGUAUAGCUGCAUGAAGAAAGCCUGAGCAAAGCAUGACAAAUGUUAGAUGUGGGUUGUAUGGCUGCGACAAGUUGGAUUAAUGUAGGCAACUUGAUGCAUGGGCUACAUGUGAACAAUUCUACAUACAUGAGCCAUGGGCGUGACCGAGAUCAUGCGACCCUCCAAAAUGUGGUGAAAGACUCUAAUUCUAAGCAACAGUGAACUUAGUAAGGCGUACUUGGGCAUACGAGUACAAGACAUCUGGGUUGGUUGGCUAAAACACACAGGUUCAAGGAAGGGAAACAUGCAGAGACACGAGGUUUGUUGGUUUAGGCACAAGACAAAGUCUAGCGAGUAACAUCCGGGAGAUAUAGCCACUCCUAAUCUACGAAUAUGGGGUUGCGUCUAGGAACGACAAUGGGGUGAGUUUUUUUAAGUACCCCCCUUUAAUGAGAUAAGUUUAAAAUUUAAGGGCUUAAGAUUUUUUUUUUAAAUCCAAGACGGGUUCAAGGUGAGUUCGUCUCACCCCAUCCAGCCCCACCUUGAUCAUAUAUAAAAUUAAUUUAAUUUAAUUUUAAUUUUUUAUUUUAAUAUAUAUAAUAAUAAUGAUAAUAAAAUAUUUUUCAAUAAAAUAAGUUAUAAAAAACUAUAAUAUUUUAAUUAUUUAUUUUUAAAAAGAGUUAAACAGGAUGAGAUAAGGUGAGUAUGGAAAAUUUGUAUACUCGUCCCGUCCCACCCCACCCCAUUUAUUUUUUUUUAAUGGGACAAAUAUGUGAAUUAUUUUGAAUAAAUGAGACAGAUGGGUUGGGAUGAAAGCGAUCCGUCCCGAACCCGCCAUAUUGCUAUCCCUAGUUGUGUUGUAGAAAUGCAUAAAUACAUCAUCUGAAACAAGGACAAAGUGUUUGGGACACCUGAUAACACCUCAAGAGAAGUUGCAAGCCUUAAGAAACUACUAAGAUAGGUGAAAGAGCUUGGGUUGGAUCUCUAAUACAUGGGUAGUUAUUGAGAUUUUUUGGCUACCUAUUAAUACCAUAUUGUACAGGUAAAAGAUAAAAUGUUUCCAUUGACUUAAAACUCGUUUGAUAAUAAUUCUAAGAAGCGAUUGUAAUCUUCUAGUACUUAAAUUUUUUUAUUUUUCAAGUGUUAGAAGAGAUAAAAAAUACUUUAUAAAAUCACUAUCAAACAGACACUUUGAGUUCGUUUAACAAUUAUUCUAAAAAAUGUUUAUAGUUUAAAAAGUAUUUUUUUUUAAAUAAUAAUAAAAUGUUUAACAAAAUUUAGGAAACAUUUUUAGAAAUCUGAAAAAUCACUUUGUAGUAUUGAAAAAUUAGUUGUAGUGUUAUUUAGAGAAAUACGUGAUGAAUUAUUCUUUUACAAACACUAUCAAAGAAAACAUUUGUACUAAAAACAAUUCAAGUAGAAACUAUGCCAACUAAGAAGCUUUGAUUUUUUUUGUGUUGGGCACGGAAUUAUACAAGUUGAGCUGCUUGUAUACUUCGUGUGUUGGUUGCAUCGGUGUGGGCUUGCUAGGUCGAUCUUCACAACAUCACACAAAAAAAGAAUCUUGUGACAGCUAGCACUAUGAUGCUUAGGAUAGUAAGCAUCAUAAGAGAGUUGCCCUGCCAUCACCAGAAUUCACCCUUUUUCCUUUUCUACAUAAAAACCUUUGCAUCUUAAAAGAUUACAUCUAUAGAUCACACCCACACAUGUUCAUUCCACACCAACGUUCAUUGUAUUAAUUACAAAAACAAAGUUUCAAACUCCUCCCACUUGGAUCAUUUCAUAAAUCUGUAGCUAGGCUUCUCAGUCGUUUUUUUAUGCCCAAAUUUGUAAGUUUUGCUAGGGCUGCAGUUGAAGUUACUGUCACCCCCAAAGCCAUACUUGGUGCGGUACCCUGGGUAGUCCCUAAAAUUAAAGGGCACUUCUUCUAUAAGUCUUAGCCCAACUCUUGAGGCUAGAAAUUCCAAAUUCCACUCAUAAAAGAAGCCAUUGCUUUUGUGAGUAAUGUGGAUUUCUCCAUCUAUGUGAAUCAACUUCUUUGCAUUUUCUAAAAACUGUUGUACCAGCAUCCGAUGUCGCCUGCAAGAAUUAACAAUGAUAUAGAAGGAAAAUUUUCAUGUAAGAAUUGGGAAUGCAGGCUAUACAUAAAUUCAAUCCAUAGGAGCUUUUCAAAGAAAGAAUCUACCAACCAGAUCUCAUCCUCCCUGGGUUCAUCGGGAAAAAAUCCAGCGAGUGGGAAGUUGUAAACAACUCGAUCAAAACGCAUGCAUUUGAAUGGGAAAACGUUUGCCAUUUUGGUGGCAUCAACAUCAUGCAUGACCUUAGCUCCCAAGCUCCGGAGUUUAUCGAUGUUGGACAAGGCAAGCCUAUAGUUUGUGCUCAAAAACUCUGAAAAUUGCAGCUGAUGGUCAUCAGUUAAGGUCAUCAGUUAAGGUCAUAAGACAAACCCCAAAUGGGUGCUGGGGCACAUGCGAAUCAAGGUUUACUCAGGACUAGAAUGAGAAAAUACCCAAAUCAAUCAAAAUCAUGGCAUUCAUGAGAAACACUCAAAGAAGAUUACCAACUUAUAUUUCAGGAUUUCUUAUUUGUUACCUAUAGAAUUAAGAGAAGUAGCGGUUAUGUUUGUAGCAGAAGCAAAAGCCACAGCCAAAGACGCAGAGAAUGAAAAGUCCCCUUCACCCACCAGCAAUAUUUUGUACUCACUGCUGUAGUGCUUUAUCCAUCUUACUCUAAGUUUUCCUUCCUCUAGGUCUUCUUCUUCACAGCUGCUGUAGUCCCACCAAUUUUUUCCUACCACUCCUCUGGUUCGUUCUUCUUUUUCUUCAAUUAUGUUGUACUGGUGGAGCCGUGCAGAAACUUGCUUCUCAUCACCUACAACUUGGACUUUAAAUUUUGCA